rnacentral:rRNA from 1 species
UCUCCGUAGGUGAACCUGCGGAGGGAUCAUUACACAAAUAUGAAGGCGGGCUGGAACCUCUCGGGGUUACAGCCUUGCUGAAUUAUUCACCCUUGUCUUUUGCGUACUUCUUGUUUCCUUGGUGGGUUCGCCCACCACUAGGACAAACAUAAACCUUUUGUAAUUGCAAUCAGCGUCAGUAACAAAUUAAUAAUUACAACUUUCAACAACGGAUCUCUUGGUUCUGGCAUCGAUGAAGAACGCAGCGAAAUGCGAUAAGUAGUGUGAAUUGCAGAAUUCAGUGAAUCAUCGAAUCUUUGAACGCACAUUGCGCCCUUUGGUAUUCCAAAGGGCAUGCCUGUUCGAGCGUCAUUUGUACCCUCAAGCUUUGCUUGGUGUUGGGCGUCUUGUCUCUAGCUUUGCUGGAGACUCGCCUUAAAGUAAUUGGCAGCCGGCCUACUGGUUUCGGAGCGCAGCACAAGUCGCACUCUCUAUCAGCAAAGGUCUAGCAUCCAUUAAGCCUUUUUUCAACUUUUGACCUCGGAUCAGGUAGGGAUACCCGCUGAACUUAA